rnacentral:rRNA from 1 species
UGGGGAAUAUUGGGCAAUGGGCGAAAGCCUGACCCAGCGACGCCGUGUGGGCGAUGAAGGCCUUCGGGUUGUAAAGCCCUGUUGGGUGGAAAGAAGGACUCCUGGACGAAUAAUCCAGAAGUUUUGACGGUACCACCAGAGGAAGCACCGGCUAACUCCGUGCCAGCAGCCGCGGUAAUACGGAGGGUGCAAGCGUUGUUCGGAAUUACUGGGCGUAAAGGGCGCGUAGGUGGUUGUGUAAGUCGGAUGUGAAAUCCCCAGGCUCAACUUGGGAACCGCAUCUGAUACUGCAUGACUAGAGUACAGCAGAGGGAAACGGAAUUCCUGGUGUAGAGGUGAAAUUCGUAGAUAUCAGGAGGAACACCGGUGGCGAAGGCGGUUUCCUGGGCUGAUACUGACACUGAGGCGCGAAAGCGUGGGUAGCAAACA